rnacentral:rRNA from 1 species
GACGAACGCUGGCGGCGUGCUUAACACAUGCAAGUCGAACGAUGAAGCCUAGCUUGCUAGGUGGAUUAGUGGCGAACGGGUGAGUAAUACGUGAGUGACCUACCUUUGACUCUGGGAUAAGCCUGGGAAACUGGGUCUAAUACCGGAUACGACCAAUCUCCGCAUGGGGUGUUGUGGAAAGCGUUAUGGAGUGGUUUUAGAUGGGCUCACGGCCUAUCAGCUUGUUGGUGAGGUAAUGGCUUACCAAGGCGACGACGGGUAGCCGGCCUGAGAGGGUGACCGGCCACACUGGGACUGAGACACGGCCCAGACUCCUACGGGAGGCAGCAGUGGGGAAUAUUGCACAAUGGCGCAAGCCUGAUGCAGCGACCCGCGUGAGGG